ensembl:lncRNA
UUUAAAUAAAAUGUAUAUAUUUGUCAUUUGAAUAUCGCUAUGUACACACACAUGCAUAAUUAUUUUAUUUUAUUAAAAAUAUAUGCACCUGUGUGAAACUCAUUUGCACAACUCUUCAAUCAGCAAUCAGUCCUCAUCCAUCUAUAAAAGAUGCCACCUCUGUGUUGCUAUUUGCAAGCAUGGAUCAAAGAGGCCAUAGGCACGGAAGGAGAGUAAGAGGCCAUGGCAGAGGGGCCCGAGGAAGAGGAGUUUGUAUGCGUGGUGGAGGAGCUGCAGCAGCAAGAGGACAAAAUCGAGCUCAAGUUUCAAAUGAAAUUCGGGCAACAAUUAUUGACCAUGUCAUCAAUCAUGGCUUGUCCUUUAGAAAGGCUGGACAAAGGGUCCAGCCCAUUCUGAGUCGGAGCACUGUGGCAUCUAUUGUCAGGCUUUUUCGGAAUGAGAACAGAAUCCACACAUUGCCACACACUGGUGGCAGAGGAAAGAUAUUUAGUAUUGAACAGGAGUCUGCCAUUGUAGAUAUGGUAGUGGCAAACAAUGCAAUCAGACUGCGUGAAAUCCAGGCAGCAGUAAUUGCAGAUCAGGGAGCAUUUCGAAAUAUAAACUGUGUGAGUUUGGCAACUAUAGAUCGAGUCCUUGAACGAAACCAUGUCAGAAUGAAGCAGCUGUACAGAGUUCCAUUUCAAAGAAACUCUGACAUCGUAAAGGAGGCACGAUUCCAGUAUGUGCAGAGAAUAAUGGAGCUUGAAGCUGAAGGGGCACAUCACAAAUUCAUUUUUGUGGAUGAAGCCGGCUUCAACCUCUGUAAAGUGAGGCGACGCGGGAUGGAACAUCAUUGGGCAGAGGGCCACUGUCACAGUGCCAGGUCAGAGGGGUGCCAAUAUCACCAUGUGUGCUGCCAUCUCCAAUGAUGGAGUCCUUUGCCACAUACCAACUAUUGGCCCAUACAAUACAGAACGCCUCAUCACAUUUCUUGAUGCAUUGAAAGAAUUACUGAUUCCACCCGAAGAGAGAGGGCUGUUGAGGCCUGGCAUGACUCUGUAUGUCAUAAUUUGGGACAAUGUGGCUUUCCACCACUCUCGCCUUGUGAAUGAAUGGUUUGCAGCACAGCCUCGUAUUAUGAUGCAAUUCCUCCCUGCAUACUCGCCUUUUCUGAACCCAAUCGAGGAGUUCUUCUCUGCUUGGAGGUGGAAGGUGUAUGAUCACCGGCCAUAUGAGCAGAUGCCCCUCCUGGAGGCAAUGAAUGCUGGUUGCCUGGCAAUAGGUGCAGAGGACUGCCAGGGAUGGAUACGCCAUGCAAAGGAGGUAUUUCCCUCGGUGCAUUGCAAGGGAAUAUAUAUAUCUUUCUUUUUUUAAAAGGUAUUUCCACCCAUAAGUUUCCUUUGGUAGUUUUUUUUUCCAGUAUCCAUUUGAGUUUGUAAAGUAUCAUAUUUCAUAUUGAUGGCUGCAUUUUGUAUUUUGUUGUCCAUUGUGUAAUGAUUGAUUGAAAGAAUAAAUUAAUUUGACCACAAGUUGUGGUGUUUGAU